rnacentral:misc_RNA from 1 species
AAGUCGUAACAAGGUUUCCGUAGGUGAACCUGCGGAAGGAUCAUUAACACGUAUCCAAACGUUAAAACCCCCCCCCGUGAACCUUCAUCCUGCUCUUGUAACCCGCGUAGUUCGCAAUCUCUGAUAAAUCAUAGCCCGGAAAGUUGUAGUGAUUCAGAGACCUCUGGCUACGUGCGAACAUUGGGAUCGAUUAAUGCGAAGCUCAAUGUAAUACAUUGGGUAAAAAAACCGAACAACUGUUAACAAUGGAUAUCUUGGUUCUC